rnacentral:rRNA from 1 species
GAGUUUGAUCGUGGCUCAGAUUGAACGCUGGCGGCAGGCUUAACACAUGCAAGUCGAGCGGGGAGGAUUGCUUCGGUAAUUGACCUAGCGGCGGACGGGUGAGUAAUACUUAGGAAUCUGCCUAUUAAUGGGGGACAACAUCUCGAAAGGGAUGCUAAUACCGCAUACGCCCUACGGGGAAAGCAGGGGAUCACUUGUGACCUUGCGUUAAUAGAUGAGCCUAAGUCGGAUUAGCUAGUUGGUGGGGUAAAGGCCUACCAAGGCGACGAUCUGUAGCGGGUCGUGAGAGGAUGAUCCGCCACACUGGGACUGAGACACGGCCCAGACUCCUACGGGAGGCAGCAGUGGGGAAUAUUGGACAAUGGGGGGAACCCGUGAUCCAGCCAUGCCGCGUGUGUGAAGAAGGCCUAAUGGUUGUAAAGCACUUUAAGCGAGG